AACGAACGCUGGCGGCAGGCCUAACACAUGCAAGUCGAACGCCCCGCAAGGGGAGUGGCAGACGGGUGAGUAACACGUGGGAACGUACCCUUUGGUUCGGAACAACUCCGGGAAACUGGAGCUAAUACCGGAUAAGCCCCUCGGGGGAAAGAUUUAUCGCCGAAGGAUCGGCCCGCGUCGGAUUAGCUAGUUGGUGGGGUAAAAGCCUACCAAGGCGACGAUCCGUAGCUGGUCUGAGAGGAUGACCAGCCACACUGGGACUGAGACACGGCCCAGACUCCUACGGGAGGCAGCAGUGGGGAAUAUUGGACAAUGGGCGCAAGCCUGAUCCAGCCAUGCCGCGUGAGUGAUGAAGGCCUUAGGGUUGUAAAGCUCUUUCGCCAGGGACGAUAAUGACGGUACCUGGAUAAGAAGCCCCGGCUAACUUCGUGCCAGCCGCCGCGGUAAAAC
rnacentral:rRNA from 1 species